rnacentral:rRNA from 1 species
CCUAACACAUGCAAGUCGAACGGUAGCAGGAAGAAGCUUGCUUCUUUGCUGACGAGUGGCGGACGGGUGAGUAAUGUCUGGGAAACUGCCUGAUGGAGGGGGAUAACUACUGGAGACGGUAGCUAAUACCGCAUAACGUCGCAAGACCAAAGAGGGGGACCUUCGGGCCUCUUGCCUUCGGAUGUGCCCAGAUGGGAUUAGCUAGUAGGUGGGGUAACGGCUCACCUAGGCGACGAUCCCUAGCUGGUCUGAGAGGAUGACCAGCCACACUGGAACUGAGACACGGUCCAGACUCCUACGGGAGGCAGCAGUGGGGAAUAUUGCACAAUGGGCGCAAGCCUGAUGCAGCCAUGCCGCGUGUAUGAAGAAGGCCUUCGGGUUGUAAAGUACUUACAGCG